rnacentral:lncRNA from 1 species
GUUAGGUCCUCACUGGAGAAGGUAAUUGAUUUUACUAAGUCCAACCAUUCAAAUGUUAAUCUCAUCCAGAAACAACCUCACAGACACAAUGAGGAGUAAUGUUUAAUCUGGGCACCCUGUGUCCCAGUCAAGUUGACACAAAAAAUUGACCACAGGAGUUCCCAGGGAACAAGGUGAAAAUUACAACCUGUCACUUCUGCUAUCUUCUCAUUGGUUAAUACAGCCAUAGCCCUUCCCAGAUUCAAUAGGGGGGAUAGAAACCCAUUUCUAUGAAAGAAAUGUGAAAGUUGUCAGAGGAAAAAUGGAGUCAAUUGUGUCAACCGUAGCAAGAAAGUGAACAAAACUGGGAGGUUAUAAAGGAAAGAUUCUUAUACGUUUGCCUGACAGUUAUUAUCACAAAAGACUGUGAGAACCACAAACUUGGACAGAGACCUCCACAACCUUCUACACAAGGUACUUCUCUACUAAGACAUGGGCUCAGCAACUAUCCAACCUUGGGGUUGGAAUUGAAUCCAACCUCCCCACAAGCUGGUAAAUAACAAUAAGCACACUUAUUGUUAGUCAUUGUGGUCAAAGAUUAUUGUUUCAAAAUAUCUGAUGUAAAUCCUCUUGCCUUUAAAAACUUCUAUUUGCUUAGCCUUUUUGAGGAUGCCCAUACUUUACUAUGGUAUGUAUAUUUCUUUUUUAAAAUAUUUUAUUGAUUUUAUUUUUUAAAAUACAUGACAGCAGUGGAAUGCAUAUUACACAUAUAGAGCACAAUUUUUCAUAUCUCUGUAUAUAAAGUAUGUUCUUACCAAUUCAUGC